rnacentral:rRNA from 1 species
AACGCUAGCUACAGGCUUAACACAUGCAAGUCGAGGGGCAGCAUCAUCAAAGCUUGCUUUGAUGGAUGGCGACCGGCGCACGGGUGAGUAACACGUAUCCAACCUGCCGACAACACUGGGAUAGCCUUUCGAAAGAAAGAUUAAUACCGGAUGGCAUAGUUUUCCCGCAUGGGAUAAUUAUUAAAGAAUUUCGGUUGUCGAUGGGGAUGCGUUCCAUUAGGCAGUUGGCGGGGUAACGGCCCACCAAACCAACGAUGGAUAGGGGAUCUGAGAGGAAGGUCCCCCACAUUGGAACUGAGACACGGUCCAAACUCCUACGGGAGGCAGCAGUGAGGAAUAUUGGUCAAUGGACGAGAGUCUGAACCAGCCAAGUAGCGUGAAGGAUGACUGCCCUAUGGGUUGUAAACUUCUUUUAUACGGGAAUAAAGUUAGCCACGUGUGGCUUUUUGUAUGUACCGUAUGAAUAAGGAUCGGCUAACUCCGUGCCAGCAGCCGCGGUAAUACGGAGGAUCCGAGCGUUAUCCGGAUUUAUUGGGUUUAAAGGGAGCGUAGGCGGGUUGUUAAGUCAGUUGUGAAAGUUUGCGGCUCAACCGUAAAAUUGCAGUUGAUACUGGCGACCUUGAGUGCAACAGAGGUAGGCGGAAUUCGUGGUGUAGCGGUGAAAUGCUUAGAUAUCACGAAGAACUCCGAUUG